rnacentral:misc_RNA from 1 species
CCUAGAGUUGUAGGCUUUGCCUGCUAUCUCUUACCCAUGUCUUUUGAGUACCUUCGUUUCCUCGGCGGGUCCGCCCGCCGAUUGGACAAUUUAAACCAUUUGCAGUUGCAAUCAGCGUCUGAAAAAAGCUUAAAUAGUUA